GACGAACGCUGGCGGCGUGCUUAACACAUGCAAGUCGAGCGGAAAGGCCCUUUCGGGGGUACUCGAGCGGCGAACGGGUGAGUAACACGUGAGUAAUCUGCCCUUGGCUUUGGGAUAACUACCGGAAACGGUGGCUAAUACCGGAUACGACCACUCCUUGCAUGAGGUGGUGGUGGAAAGUUUUUUCGGCCAGGGAUGUGCUCGCGGCCUAUCAGCUUGUUGGUGGGGUAAUGGCCUACCAAGGCUUCGACGGGUAGCCGGCCUGAGAGGGUGACCGGCCACACUGGGACUGAGACACGGCCCAGACUCCUACGGGAGGCAGCAGUGGGGAAUAUUGGACAAUGGGCGGAAGCCUGAUCCAGCAACGCCGCGUGAGGGAUGACGGCCUGGUGUAACGUACUUCAGUACGACGAAGACGCCGACUGAUGGUGGUGACGGUAGGUACGAGAAGAAG
rnacentral:rRNA from 1 species